rnacentral:tRNA from 1 species
GCCUGGGUGGCUCAGUCAGUUAAGCGUCCAACUUCAGUUCAGGUCAUGAUCUCAUGGUUUGUGGGUUUGAGUCCCACCUCAGGCU